UUUAGGAGGAGAGAGAGUGGAGGGUAGAGGAACAUCUUUAGGAGGAGAGAGAGUGGAGGGUAGAGGAACAUCUAUAGGAGGAGAGAGAGUGGAGGGUAGAGGAACAUAUUCAGGAGGAGAGAGAGUGGAGGGUAGAGGAACAUAUUCAGGAGGAGAGAGAGUGGAGGGUAGAGGAACAUCUAUAGGAGGAGAGAGAGUGGAGGGUAGAGGAACAUAUUCAGGAGGAGAGAGAGUGGAGGGUAGAGGAACACCUUUAGGAGGAGAGAGAGUGGAGGGUAGAGGAACAUCUUUAGGAGGAGAGAGAGUGGAGGGUAGAGGAACAUCUUUAGGAGGAGAGAGAGUGGAGGGUAGAUGGACAUCUUUAGGAGGUUAGGAGGAGAGAGUGGAGGGUAGAGGAACAUCUUUAGGAGGUUAGGAGGAGAGAGUGGAGGGUAGAGGAACAUCUUUAGGAGGUUAGGAGGAGAGAAUGGAGGGUAGAGGAACAUCUUCAGGAGGAGAGAGUGGAGGGUAGAGGAACAUCUUCAGGAGGAGAGAGAGUGGAGGGUAGAGGAACAUCUUUAGGAGGAGAGAGAGUGGAGGGUAGAGGAACAUCUUCAGGAGGAGAGAGAGUGGAGGGUAGAGGGACACCUAUAGGAGGAGAGAGAGUGGAGGGUAGAGGAACAUCUUUAGGAGGACAGAGAGUGGAGGGUAGAGGAACACCUUUAGGAGGAGAGAGAGUGGAGGGUAGAGGAACAUCUUUAGGAGGAGAGAGAGUGGAGGGUAGAGGGACAUCUUUAGGAGGUUAGGAGGAGAGAGUGGAGGGUAGAGGAACAUCUUUAGGAGGUUAGGAGGAGAGAGUGGAGGGUAGAGGAACACCUUUAGGGGGAGAGAGUGGAGGGUAGAGGAACAUCUUUAGGAGGUUAGGAGGAGAGAGUGGAGGGUAGAGGAACAUCUUUAGGAGGAGAGAGUGGAGGGUAGAGGAACAUCUUUAGGAGGAGAGAGAGUGGAGGGUAGAGGAACACCUUUAGGGGGAGAGAGAGUGGAGUGUAGAGGAACAUCUUUAGGAGGAGAGAGAGUGGAGGGUAGAGGAACAUCUUUAGGAGGAGAGAGAGUGGAGGGUAGAGGAACAUCUUUAGGAGGAGAGAGAGUGGAGGGUAGAGGAACAUCUUCAGGAGAGAGAGUGGAGGGUAGAGGGACAUCUUUAGGAGGUUAGGAGGAGAGAGAGUGGAGGGUAGAGGAACACCUUUAGGAGGAGAGAGAGUGGAGGGUAGAGGAACAUCUUUAGGAGGAGAGAGAGUGGAGGGUAGAGGAACACCUUUAGGGGGAGAGAGAGUGGAGGGUAGAGGAACAUCUUUAGGAGGUUAGGAGGAGAGAGUGGAGGGUAGAGGAACAUCUUUAGGAGGAGAGAGUGGAGGGUAGAGGAACAUCUUUAGGAGGAGAGAGAGUGGAGGGUAGAGGAACACCUUUAGGGGGAGAGAGAGUGGAGUGUAGAGGAACAUCUUUAGGAGGAGAGAGAGUGGAGGGUAGAGGAACACCUUUAGGAGGAGAGAGAGUGGAGGGUAGAGGGACAUCUUUAGGAGGAGAGAGAGUGGAGGGUAGAGGGACAUCUUUAGGAGGUUAGGAGGAGAGAGUGGAGGGUAGAGGAACACCUUUAGGAGGAGAGAGAGUGGAGGGUAGAGGAACAUCUUUAGGGGGAGAGAGAGUGGAGGGUAGAGGAACAUCUUCAGGAGGAGAGAGAGUGGAGGGUAGAGGAACAUCUUCAGGAGAGAGAGUGGAGGGUAGAGGGACAUCUUUAGGAGGUUAGGAGGAGAGAGAGUGGAGGGUAGAGGAACACCUUUAGGAGAAGAGAGAGUGGAGGGUAGAGGAACAUCUUUAGGAGGAGAGAGAGUGGAGGGUAGAGGAACAUCUUUAGGGGGAGAGAGAGUGGAGGGUAGAGGAACAUCUUUAGGAGGAGAGAGAGUGGAGGGUAGAGGAACAUCUUUAGGAGGAGAGAGAGUGGAGGGUAGAGGAACAUCUUUAGGAGGAGAGAGAGUGGAGGGUAGAGGAACACCUUUAGGAGGAGAGAGAGUGGAGGGUAGAGGAACAUCUUCAGGAGGAGAGAGAGUGGAUGGUAGAGGAACAUCUUCAGGAGAGAGAGUGGAGGGUAGAGGGACAUCUUUAGGAGGUUAGGAGGAGAGAGAGUGGAGGGUAGAGGAACACCUUUAGGAGGAGAGAGAGUGGAGGGUAGAGGAACAUCUUUAGGAGGAGAGAGAGUGGAGGGUAGAGGAACAUCUUUAGGAGGAGAGAGAGUGGAGGGUAGAGGAACACCUUUAGGAGGAGAGAGAGUGGAGGGUAGAGGA